ensembl:snRNA U6 U6 spliceosomal RNA
GUGCUCAUUUCAGCAGCACAUAUACUAAAAUUAGACUGAUACAGAGAUUAGCACGGCCCCUGCGCAAAGAUGACACGCAAAUUCAUAAAGCAUUUCAUUAAAAA